rnacentral:rRNA from 1 species
UACGUAGGGUGCAAGCGUUGUCCGGAAUUAUUGGGCGUAAAGAGCUCGUAGGCGGUCUGUCGCGUCGGAUGUGAAAAAUCAGGGCUCAACCCUGGACCUGCAUUCGAUACGGGCAGACUAGAGUUCGGCAGGGGGAGACUGGAAUUCCUGGUGUAGCGGUGAAAUGCGCAGAUAUCAGGAGGAACACCGGUGGCGAAGGCGGGGUCUCUGGGCCGAUACUGACGCUGAGGAGCGAAAAGCGUGGGGGAGCAAACAGG